GUUAAGCAUGUUAAGUAUAAAUCUUGCUGAAUCUCAGAUUGAAGUAAUGAAGGUAAGAAAUUGGAUUAGAAUUUUAGAUAUUUUACAUGAUGAAUGAUCAUUGCAUGGUACAAUAGUCUUCCGAAAAAGUUGAUGAUUAAAGGGACACUGCCCAAAUAAAAAAUGAAUAAAUCACUAUAUCGUACCCCACAUUAAAACAUGUAAUAUAAAUGUAAAUGUUGUGGCUUCUCCCAAAUAUAUUGACUAAAACUAACAAGUUCUAUAAAUCACAUCGAGAUACCAAAUAUUUAAAUUAAUUUAGAGUAUUAAUAUAAACCUGCAUUAAUAAACUUCACACCUGCUGUAUUAAAGGGACAUUCCACUGCCCAAUUGCAAUAAAUGUAUCAUUAUUUUGUAGGUAUACCAUCAAUAAAAACAUGCAUGCAUUUAAUUAUACAUUUUUUUUUUUAACUAGUGCAUAUAAAAAAAAACAGCUUGCAAAAGUUUUAGAUCUCUUGUCUAUAGCCUUUGUAAACCUGUCCCUUCUACCACAACCCAGCCUUUCUGUGGCUGUCCAAUCACAGACCGUGAGAGGGCUGUAACAAGAUUAAUUUAUAAAAGUAUCAAUUUCUAUUGAAUUCUCCACUUUUUGUAAAAAUAAGAAAAGGAUACAAACUUCACAAACAAAGCACUUCAGCAAGCUACAGUACUUUAGGUGUUUGAAGUGUUUCUUUGACCCAAAGCAAUUUUGUGUUUAACAUUUGUAAUAUUUUGUUUUCUCUCCUUAGAACUUUCUUAUGAUAUCUGUCAAUGUUUGCAGAGCUUAAAAUCUUUGGACCCCACCGGCAAAACAGAGAAAUCACUGCAAGCAAUAUUUAAGAACCUUAAGCACAUUACUAUAGAAAUGUGCUUAAGUAGAGCUGCGGACCUUAUUCUAUUUGUUUUGAUUAAAUCAUGUAAAAUUUAUUAGAAUCUCUACUUUACCAAGUACUAUUUGUUUGUGUUUACUUCAUAAAAGGAUAUUUGCUUUGUCCCACUUAUUCCACAUUCUAAACACAUUUAUUAGAGUUUAGAGACACGUUAUAGUAAGUUUUAUUGCUGUGGAUCUCUGUUAUACACCCACAUACACCAACAAUAUGGAGAAAAAAGGGACUUUAGAAGAGAAAAGUGGAUUUGUGCCUAAAAUAGGGACUGUCCUUCCUAAAUUUUCUCAUUGCUGAACUCCAUUUUAUUUUUUUGUUUAAAAAAAAAAAAAAGAAUAAAAUGUUUAGCAACUUUCUGCAGCUUAACUUUACUCCCUUAGAACGGCAGUCAGAUCUCUCCUUGGAUCAAGAUGCAAUUACCCCACAAAUUAAAAAUUAUAUCCCUGAAUAUUAUGUUUUGCAAGUAUUCAUCCAGGUGCUGUUUAAACAUCUGUACAGACUCUGAAAAAAAAACUACCUCUUCUGGGAGAGAAUUUCAUAUCCUUGUUGUUCUUACUGUAAAAACCAUUUCCUUUGCUAGACUAAAUCUCUUUUCUUCCAGUCUAAAUGCGUG